CUGUGGUGGAUUAGUGGCGAACGGGCGAGUAACACGUGAGUAACCUGUCCUUUUCUUUGGGAUAACGGCUGGAAACGGCUGCUAAUACUGGAUAUUCAGGCUGCAUCGCAUGGUGUGGUUUGGAAAGGUUUUUUCUGGAAUGGGGUGGGCUCGCGGCCUAUCAGCUUGUUGGUGGGGUGAUGGCUUACCAAGGCUUUGACGGGUAGCCGGCCUGAGAGGGUGGUCGGUCGCACUGGGACUGAGAUACGGCCCAGACUCCUACGGGAGGCAGCAGUGGGGAAUAUUGCACAAUGGACGGAAGUUUGAUGCAGCGACGCCGCGUGGAGGGUGUAGGCCUUCGGGUUGUGAACUCCUUUUUCUCGUGAAAAAGGCAUGCUUUUGGGUGUGUUGAUGGUAGCGGGGGAAGAAGCGCCGGCUAACUACGUGCCAGCAGCCGCGGUAAUACGUAGGGCGCGAGCGUUGUCCGGAUUUAUUGGGCGUAAAGAGCUCGUAAGUNNNNCGUCGCGUCUGUCGUGAAAGCCAGCAGCUUAACUGUUGGUCUGCGGUGGGUACGGGCG
rnacentral:rRNA from 1 species